rnacentral:rRNA from 1 species
GCCUGUCGGGGGAAGCGGUCCGGGCGAGGCUUGGCGGCCAGUCGGUUCAGGAUAAGGGGCGGAUACCCACGUACGUCGAGUCCGCUACUCCUUUCAAACGCUUUCCAAUUUAAACCUUCGGCGUUCUCGAUGCUUCUCAAGGCGGAGGAUCAAGGCGUGCGUGUAGGGGAUGCGUGGAACAUUUCGUGCUCCGUCGUUCAUUCCGUUUUAAUACGGGGGUCAUUCCCACUCAUCUAAAAGGAACCUCGCGAUCAAACCCCCGAAGCGAAGCGUGUCUCGCAAGAGCUCGUUCAUCGUCUCGGGUUAACCUUGGCAUGGUCGCGAUUUUUGGUUCUGGGUCGGCGAUUGGCUUUCAUGAGCGUUUCGGGCGUUCCUCGCGUUCUCCCUUCGCAUCGUCCCUUGCGCGGAGAUAGAUAUUAUUUCGAGUCGUCGGGGGCUGGUUGGCGAUUGUUGGGUCAGUUAGCCCUCUUCGCACUUUACGGGUUUAUCCCGACCCGAUGCCGGACCGGCGCGCCUUCCUCCCUUCCGUGGACGCCGGCAGGCUAGGACGGGGGGCUCGGUGGAGGGGUGUUCGGGAGAUGUCCGGGGGCGUGGGUGUGGCUUUCCGCCAUUUCCCGCUAACCCCCACUCUCCUAUCCCUCGCCGGGCCUGGUCGUUGGUUUUUAGCGUUCCGUCGCCCGAGGAAGGUUCGCCCUUCUCUCGCAUCUUCGGUUUCGCGCCGCGGCCACCGUCUCGGCUGGCUCCUAGCGUCCAACUCAGAACUGGCACGGACCAGGGGAAUCCGACUGUCUAAUUAAAACAAAGCAUCGCGAUGGCCUCAACAUGGUGAUGA